rnacentral:rRNA from 1 species
UACGAGGGGGGCAAAUGUUGUUCGGAAUCACUGGGCGUAAAGGGAGCGUAGGCGGGUUCUUAAGUAAGGUGUUUAAUCCCGGGGCCCAACCCCGGACCGGCACUUUAAACUGGGAAUCUUGAAUAGUGGAGAGGUCGGUGGAAUUGGGGGUGUAGCGGUGGAAUGCGUAGAGAUCCCCAAGAACACCAGUUGCGAAGGCGGCCGACUGGACACAUAUUGACGCUGAGGCUCGAAAGCAUGGGGACACAAGC